rnacentral:lncRNA from 1 species
CAGAUUGCACGCGCACAGACGGUUCAGAUUACAUCGCGAUGAACGGUCCAUAUUCAUUUCCUAUUUAAUCACGAUCGGACGACCCAGAUAGAAUCGUGAUGGACGGCUCAGAUUAAAAGCGGAUGGUUAUAAAUAAUCACAUCCGCACCCUAACCCUAGCCGCCAGAGCCCCUCACCGGAAAAGACAGCCCAACCGUUAGGGAGCCGAUUGCUGCCACCUGCCGCCGCACCGGAGCAAUUUUCGGUCGCCAAACGAGGUUAAAAUUCUCUCAUUGGCUCAGAAUUCGAUUCUAAACCCAUCUAUAACCAAAUCGGAGCAAAAAUAUC